GGGCUGGAAGGGGGUGAGCCUCUCUGAGGGCUGAGGGCCACCAAGGAGGCACCCGCUCCUGCUCAGGGCUCAUCACGCAGCUUCCUGAGACCUGUGGCAAAAUAAUUCUCUCGUGUUCUUCACUGUGGAUUCCGUGGGUGAAGGAUGGGGACGGGGAGGAAGGAAGGAGCAGAAAGCGGCCUGAGGAGUGGUGGCGAUGAGAAUUCCUAGAUCAAGCACAAGAACUGUGGAGCAAAGGCAUCUACUGCACUUUCAGUUUCUCCUGAACUCAGCUGAGCAAGUUUCUGUGGCGCCAGAGAAAGCCUGGAGGCGGAGGGGUGAGGGGGAGGCCCCUGCAGUGCUUGGGUGAGAAGCCCACGGUGCUCCACACCUGAGGCCCACCUGGAGGCACCGUCAGGAGGACAUGGCGGGGCAUCAGUGUGGUCGGCUCGAGUUGCCUGUCUGCAGAUGGGGAGAGUGAUUGUUCUUCUGGUUUGUAGUGAGGAUUCCCUGAGGCUGGGCCAGGCAUACAAGGAGGACAGCGAGGCUCAGAAAGAUCCAGAGACUUGCUCAAGAUGACUCAGAUGCAGAACCCUGCUUCCGUUUGAGGUGCCGAACGUUGUGGCUGGGAACUCGGCCUGAGGAAGCUCGGAGCCUCACUCUGCUGUGGCCAAGCUGCUCAACGUGCAGUGUCAGCUUACCGCGUGACAGAAACCCUGCUGUCACCGCAUUUCCAUGAGGGCUCAGUGAGGGGGUGAACACGGGGCUCCGUGCGCAGUGACCGCUCACGGUGUUGUCGUUGUUACUGUGAACUUCUGCCUUUCCACUCCUCAGAUGACAGCAUGCGAGAAUGGAGCCUGGAGACCUGGUGACUUGCCCUAUGACCUAGUGAGGUGGCGCUGGGGCUGGGAUCCGUCCCUUGGACUCACUCGGGAGUCCCUGUUCUUUCUGCUCCACCGGGCAGUAGAAAGUCUGGGCUAGGGACAGGGUUUUGAUGUUUACCGUGGAAUUACCCCCUCCUCUGCGAACCCCUCCCCUCCAUAACGCCCUUCACCAGCCCUAAAGAUUUUCUUUGGUUACCUGGUUCAAUGUUUGUCGCCCACAUGCCCGAGCAUUCCCGUGAGAGAGGGCUUGGGUCGGGUAACUGCUGCAUCCCCAGUACCCUGAAUCAGGCUGGGACUGCAGGAGGCGGACGAGGCAGGGCCCUCAAGUGCAGGCUUAGAUCCUGUCUAUCGUUAAAAUUUUGAUAUUUUGUCCAUCAUGGAUAUUUUUACAUUGAUUUUUGUUUUGAAUAGUACUGUAUUAAAAUAUCGAUGAUGGUGAUUCCCGAGUUUUGGGCACUCUCUUAAAUUUUGCCCUGAGACGAGUGCCACCCUCGCCUCACCCUUGUCCCAGCUCUGUCGGGAACGGUGCCUGCCACGUAGUUACAGUCGGUGAAGAUCUGUGGAAUGAACGAUGCCCUCCUCUGUAUCAAGACUCAUUUCCUAAGUGCCCAGAGAAGAGACAGUCUUCCCGUGGGUAUUCAGGGCUCUGUGUGUGAAGGACGUGGAACCCCAGACUGAAUCUCUUGUGCUUGGCUCCAUGAUUAGGGGACAGCUGUGAGCUAAAGAAGAAGGGUGCAUCCCUUCUGGGAUCUGAUCAUGGAGCCACUCAGAACUCAGGUCUCUGAGCCUAAUGGGAGAAGUGAAGGCGAGAAGUCUGCCAGUCUCUGAAAACCUAUGUGGAGUUUCAUGGCAAUUAAACGCCACACCGAGUUGGACUGACAAUCGUUAGCGUAAUGAGGUCUGGCUGGGCGCCGCUCCCCCUGCUCCCACAUGGCGCUCAACAGGGCUGAGCUGGUUAGCGUUCUGCCGGGAUGCUUCUGAUGCUCCAUUGCAGUGAAAUAUCAGAUCUUGCCUCUACCUGUGGCUUUAUUUCCCUCCAAAGCUGAGAUUUCAUGGAGAUGCACUCUUAUAAUUAAGGUGGGGCUGAGAAAUAAUGUCCUAUAUAAUUUAAAAUGGUAAAAUUACCCAUACCUCUUCCAGCCUCAGCUUUAAAUCUUAGCCACCAAUGACUCCCCUAUUAAUGGGCCUAAUUAAAUCCAUUUUUCAGGACGUCUUUGGCAAAUUCCAUUUUAGCAAAACUGUAGGAAGUUCAAUUUAAUUUGUCUCUGCUCCCCAGGGCUGUCCUGUAAAAAUGAGGACAGGGUGGAUGCUCGUCUCUAGUGUCUUAUGUUUAUUAAUUCCCUCAACAAAUAUUUAUUGAGCACCUACUAUGUGCAUUGGCAUUGAACUAGGGGAAGAAGAGGGAGCAGUGAAAAAAUAAUAAGGUCAUUCAUUCAUUCAACAAACAUGUACUGAGUCAUCUAAUGAGGGAGCCACUGUGGAAGGCUCUGGUGUUGUAGUGAUGAAAGAUGUCCUAGGAAGGUCACUACCUGUUAAGAGAUGGCGGUACAGAUAGUUAAUAUUCAGUGUGAUAAAUGCUCUGAUGGGGUGAAGCAGAGGAAACUCAGAGGAAAACUCCGGACUCAGACUGGGAAGUUUUAAGUGAUAAGUAGAUGUCAUGCACGUGAAGCAAGGAGAGAGGAAGGUGUUGCAAGAGUGGGAUGACCGGCACAGGGGCCACGGGGGAACACGGGAGCUGUGCAGAACUCUAAGCCAUUGCUUCUUAGCUCUGGCUGCAUGUUAGAAUCGCUUGGGGGCUUUGAAAAAAUACCAGUGGCUGUGCCUCACCCCGACCAUGUAAAUCAUAAUUUCUGGGGAUGGGAUCAAGGCACUGAUAUUUUCUUAAAGCUUUCCAGGUGAUGCUAAUAAUUCAGCCAGGGUGGAGAGCUGCUCGGCUAAAGCAUGCGAAGUGGCGGGAGGUGAGGCUCGACAGGUGGACAGGGACUGGAUCGCGAAGGAUCCUGGAGGCCUGUUAAGGGAUCUGAACCUUACCUGAGGUCGUGAGAUCGUGGAAGGGUUGCCAGCAGAGUGAGGAAGGACUCAUAUUUGCACUUUGGAAGGAACUGCUCUGCCAACAGUGCAGAGGAGGGGCUGGACUGGGGCCUCUGGAGCCAGAGGAACAGGUGAAGAGACUGAUGCAGCCAUCUGAGUACAAGAGGAUGGUGGCCCGAGCCCAGGGUCAUGACCUGGGGAAGGAGAGGAGAGAUCUGUAGGAGGCUGGGGGGACAAGAUUGAGUGGUGAGCUGUGCAUCCUGCACGAAGAAGGGAAGCAGUUUGAGAUGACUCCAAGUGGCCCCGGUGACUGGAGGAUGGUCGUGACAUUAAUCAGAGAGGGGCAAGAAAAGAAUGGUUUGGGUUUAGGACAUGUUGGAGAGAUUUGAUGGGCAGCUGGAGUGGAGAUCUGCCACUUGGGACUGUGCUCUGUGGGCACAGAGCAACUGGGAAGUCAACUGUGACUCCUACUUGGAAGGAACCAUCCAAGGAGAGUGUGCAACCUCAGAGUAAGAGGAGAAGAAGGCCAGGGGUGGUGGAGCCUUAGGAAUCUCAACAUUUAAAGGGCACUUGGAGUUUUGAGGAGCUGAGAAAGAACUUGAGGAGGAAUGGCAGAGAGGUAGGAGGGAAAGCAGAGAGAGAGUGACGUCAUGAAGCCAAGGAAGGAGAGAGUUCUGAGAAAAGAGUGGCAACGUGUUGAAAGCUGUGCAGAAGCCAACUAAAAUGGAAGACCAUCCUAUAUGUUUAGGAAAAAACAACUUUGCUGAGACAUUGGGGGUAGAAAGCAGACUGCAGUGGGUUGCAGAGCAAAUGGAACAGAGAUGGGUAUAGGUAAACUCCUGGUCCAAGAAAGGGAAGCAAGAGGUUGCACAGUACCCAGAGGAGAUGUUGGAUUGAGAAGACAUGAGCCAGGACUGAGUGCAAGUAGUUUAUUUUGGAGGUGAUGCCAGGAAAUACCAGUAGGGGAGUGAAGAAGUGAGACACAAAAGGAAACCCACAAAACCCUCUUGCAAAGAGAGCGGGUGGAAUCAGCAAGUCCAUAUCCAGAUCCCCCAUCUCAAUAAUUUCUGCACUCUGGGCAGGUUACUUGAUUUCAGAAAAGCAAAAAAAAGAAUAAAACAAAGAAAGAAAAAAGAAAAAUCAGUACCUCCAAGCUUGCAGCCAAUAAAAUGUCAAUUUCAUCGUAACCGUGUCCACAGCAUCACUAACAGUGUACUCGGCACGAGGCUGGGGAGGAGUUGGGGUAAGGGAGGCUCGUAAAAAUGGCCGAUGCAGAUAUUAAUGAUUUAAUCUGCUAACGCGGCGUGGAGGCCUCUGAGAAUCCUAUUCGUCAGCGUCCAGGAGCCCAUGAGGAGGAGGCGUGGGGAGAAGGAUCGCAGAUAGCGCCGGGAUGUGGUGCGAAUGAAGAUGAAUCGUGGAGCACAGUAUUGAUCUGCCUUGCCUGGAACGGCCACUUUCUGUUUGGAAAUAUGGAAAGCAAAUUAAUGAAUAAAUGAGCUGGCUCAGUGAGCUGUGCCCCGCUGGGAGGCCUGGUGUUUAAGCCACAUAUGCCAACAGGCUCUGAGCAAAUACAGGGAGGGAGGGGGGCUUUGCUGAGAGGGAAGAUGUGGCUCUGCGUGGUGGUCUAGAACCCGCGCCCAGAGCGGCUCUGGAGAGCAGAGGCAGGUGUCCUGGGGUCAGAUUGCUGAUGGCAUUUGGCUCUGCCUCCUGCUGGCUGUGGGGCCUUGAAAACUCGUGCAAUCUCUCUGAACCUGAGUUUCUUCAUGACAGAAAGAGGGUGGGAAAGGAUCAAUGGGAGGAUUCAACUAGGUCACCUGUGUCCUGUACUGGCUCCACCUCUUACAGGCUGUGAGAUACUGGAGAAAUCUUCUGACUUCUCUGUGCUUCGAAUUUCCCUUCUGUCGUACAAUAACACCUAUCCGUGGGACACCGUGGUGAAAAGUGGUAACUUUCAUAACUACUCAACAUUCAACAAAUAUUAAUCACUUAUUAUGUGCCAAUGACAGUUCUAGAUGCCUGGGGUAGGGCUGUGAACAAAAGGGUAACAUUCUUUCUCUCAUAGAAUUUCUUAUUUUUUUCCUGUGACUGUGCAAAUGUCCCAGCACCUCUGUUGGAAGGACUCGCCCUCUUCCACUGAGUUGUCUCUGCCCCCUGUCAACAAUCAGACGGCCGCACUUGUGUGUGGCUAACCUGGGUUUUCUAUUCUGCCCCAUCCGUCCAUGUGUCUGUCCCUCUGCCGACAGCACACUGUCUCGAUGACCGCAGCUCUAGAGGAAGUCUCCAAAGUGGGUGGAAUGAGUCCUCCCACUUUACUCUUCUUUUCCAAAUUCUACUUUCUUUGCCUUUCCAUAUAAAUCUUAGAACAAGCUUGCUUAUAUCUACGAAAAAAAUCUUGCUGGGAUUUUUGAUAGGAAUUGUGUUAACCCUGUAUUUCAACUUGGGGGGAACUGACAUCUUUACUACGCUGAGUCUUCCAAUCCAUGAACAUGGUACAUUUCUCCAUUCAGUUAGAUCUUUGAUUUCUAUCAGCAGCAUUUGUAGUCUUCAGCAUACAAUCCCUGUCAUAUUUUGCUGGAUUUAUUCCUAAAUAUUUCAUUUUUCU
rnacentral:lncRNA from 1 species